AGAGUUUGAUCAUGGCUCAGAGUGAACGCUGGCGGCAGGCCUAAUACAUGCAAGUCGAACGGCAGCACAGCAGAGCUUGCUCCGUGGGUGGCGAGUGGCGGACGGGUGAGGAAUACGUGGGAAUCUGCCCAGUCGUGGGGGAUAACGUAGGGAAACUUACGCUAAUACCGCAUGCGCCCUUCGGGGGAAGCCGGGGACCUUCGGGCCUGGCGCGAUUGGAUGAGCCCACGUCGGAUUAGCUAGUUGGCGGGGUAAAGGCCCACCAAGGCGACGAUCCGUAGCUGGUCUGAGAGGAUGAUCAGCCACACUGGAACUGAGACACGGUCCAGACUCCUACGGGAGGCAGCAGUAGGGAAUAUUGGACAAUGGGCGCAAGCCUGAUCCAGCCAUGCCGCGUGAGUGAAGAAGGCCCUCGGGUUGUAAAGCUCUUUUGUCCGGAAAGAAAAGCGCCGGGUUAAUACCCUGGUGUCCUGACGGUACCGGAAGAAUAAGCACCGGCUAACUUCGUG
rnacentral:rRNA from 1 species